rnacentral:lncRNA from 1 species
UUUAAAUAUUUAUUGAGCACCUACUGUGUGCCAGAUGCCAUAAUGCCACUGGAGAACCAGCAAUGGACAAAACAAGGCCUUGAAAACCCAAAGAGGCACUUUUCCAACGAGGACAUGCAGAUGGCCAACAGACACAUGAAAAGAUGCUCAAUAUCACUAAUCAUCAAGGAAAUGCAAAUCAAAACCACAGUGAGAUAUCGCCGCACAUCUGUCAGAAUGGCCAUUAUCAAAACCACAUGAGGGAGUUCCCGCCCUGGCGCAGUGGAAACACAUCCGACGAGGAACCAUGAGGUUGCGUGUUCGAUCCCUGGCCUCACUCAGUGGGUUAAGGAUCUGGUGUUGCCACGAGCUAUAGUGUAGGUCAAAGAUGUGGCUCAGAUCUGGUGGUGUUGUGACUGUAGCGUAGGCUGGCAGCAACACCUCUGAUUCAACCCCUAGCCUGGGAACCUCCAUAUGCUGCUGGUGUGGCCCUAAAAAGCAAAAAAGAAAAAGAAAAAAAAAAGAAACAAACAAAUGUUGGUGAAAAUGUGGAGAAAAGGGAACCCUCAUACACCAUUGGUAGGAAUGUAAAUUGGUGUUGACACUGUGGAAAACAGUAUGUUUUCUCAGAAAACUAAAAAUGGAACUACCAUAUGACAUAGCAGUUCCCCUCCUGGGCGUAUAUCUGAAAAAAAAACAAACAAACAAACAAAAAAAAAACGCUAAUGCAGAAAGUUAUAUGCACCUCCAUGUUCACAGCAACAUUAUUUACAAUUGCCAAGAUACGGAAGCAACCUAAGUGUCCAUCCACAGAUGAAUGGAUUAAGAAGAUGAGGUAUAUUACACAAUGGAAUAUUAGCCAUAAAAAGAAUGAAAUUUUGUCAUUUACAACAACAUGAAUGGACUUGGAAAGUAAUAGUGAAGUAAGUCAGACAGAGAAAGACAAAUACUGUAUCAUAUCACUUAUAUGUGGAAUCUAAAAAAUGUAACAAACUAGGAGUUCCCUGGUGGCUCAGCAGGUUAAGGACCUGAUGUUGUGACAGCUGUGGCAUGGGUUUGAUCCCUGGCUGGGGAACUUCUGCAUGCCAUGAGUACAGCCAAAAAAAAAACAAAACAAAUAAGCUACGAGGAUAUAUUGUACAACACAGGAGAUCUGGCCAAUAUUUUAUAAUAAGUAUAAAUGGAGUAUAACUUUUAAAAAUUGUGAAUCAGGGAGUUCCCAUUGUGGCACAGUGGAACCGAAUCCAAUUAGGAACCAUGAGGUUGGGGGUUCAAUCCCUGGCCUCACUCAGUGGGUUUAGGAUCUGCCGUUGCUGUGGCUGUGGUGUAGGCCAGUGGCUACAGGUCCAAUUGGACCCCUAGCCUGGAACUUUCAUAUGCUGCAGGUGCGGCCCUAGACAACAACAAUAACAAAUUGUGAAUCACUAUAGUGUACACCCAUAACUUACAUAAUACUGUACAUUAAUUAUAUUUCAAUUACAAAAAUCCCUGUCUUGGAGUUCCUAUUGUGGCUCAAAGGGUUAAGAACCCGACAUAGUGUCUGUGAGGAUGUGGGUUGGAUCCCUGGCAUUGCUCAGUGGAUUAAGGAUCUGGUGUUGCUGUGGCUAUGGCGUAGGCUGAAAGCUGCAACUUCAUUUUGAUCCCUAGCCUGGGAACUUCCAUAUGCCACAGACAUGGCCCUAAAAAAAAAGGAAAAAAAAGAAAAAAUCCCUGGCUUGGAGUUCCCUGGUGGCUCAGUGGGUUAUGGAUCUACUACUGUGGCUCUGGUUAGUGCUGUGGUGCAAGUUCGAUCCCUGCACCGGAAACUUCAACAUGCCAUGGGCAGCAUCCCCCACCCCGCCACCAAUCCCUUAUUUUGCCUUUAUGCCUGGGCAAAGAUUUUUUUUUUCUUUUUUUUUCCCAGGCUAGAGAUCCCAUCAGAUCUGGAGCUGCUGGCCUACGCCACAGCCACAGCAACACCAGAUCCAAGCCGUGUCUGCGACCUACACCACAGCUCACAGCAACGCUGGAUCCUUAACCCACUGAGCGAGGCCAGGGACCGACCCCUCGUCCUCAGAGAAUGCUAGUCAGGUUCAUUACCGCUGAGCCAUGACGGGACCUCCUGCAUUUAGAUUUUUAGCGAACAUCUACUUUGCACCUCACCUCAAGUUGGUUGCUGGGGAGAAGCAGAAAGGAGGCGUGGGCUGGGCUAGUAUGCAGGUGGACUCAGCCCACCCCUAGUGAGGCUCCCUGCCUGGACUUCUGGGAGAGGCUUGAAUGAGCCUUGAAGGAGACACCUGACUAUCAAAGGAGGGGGCGAAACAGCAUCCCGAGCCAAGGAAAUGACAUAGUAAAAGCCUCCAAGGUGUUUGGGGUUCAUGACUCCUCGGCACAGUUAAAGCCUGGGGUCCACGGGACAGGACAGUCGGGGGAGAGAUGAAGUGAUGAGGCCAAAACCAGAGCAGCGGCUGACUGCACCUCAGGAGUCUGCGGGGGAAGGACUUUGUGGACGUGGCGAUUAUCUCAACUAUUUGUGGGGCAAUCACAGGAGCAUCUGGGGAGAAAACUGGCCCCAGAAGGAAAAGGGCUGCAGGCGGGAAGACCAGAAAGGAUGCUGUUCAGAUGGCCCAGGUGAAAGCCAGUGAGGGCCUAGACUGAGCAGACGUGGUGGGAUGGAGGGGCCCCAGGAGACAGCUCUGGAUUUGGCAGUUGCGGGGGAGGAGCUAGAACAUUGUGCUUUUACAAGAGUGGGUUAUUUAUCCAAAAACAAACAAAACAAAACAACAGCAACAACAGAGCAUUGCCGCAAGCUGUGGUGUAGGCUGCAGAUGUGGCUUGGAUCCAGCGUGGCUGUGGCUGUGCCGUAAGCCAGCAGCUGCAGCUCCAAUUCGAGCCCAGGAACUUCCAUAUGCCUCAGGUGGGGCCCUAGAAAAGGACAGAAAAAAAAAAAUACAAGAAUGGGCUUUGUCAUCAAAAGGUGCUGGCAGGAGCCCCAGCAUCCCUUGACUGACUGGGAAGUAACCAUUUCAAGCCUGCUUCCUGAUCUGGACACUGGGGAUGCAGCAGCAGCAGCAGCUCUGAGCUUGGGAGGAUUAUGGGGGCUACUCAGAGAAGCCUUGGCCUUGGUGGAUGCUCAGAACACAGCAGCAUCAUUUGGAUGGAGGAGGGAGCCAAGGAUAGCUUUCUGUCUGCUUUGACUGACUGGGUAGAGAGAGAUGCCAGCUUUGUUGGCGAGCACAGGAAGGGGCACUUUGAGGCCACCACAGUCUUGGUGGUCAGUGUCAAAGCCAUGGCCUCGUUCACCCGUCAUCUCCGAUUGUACCUCUGGUCUCGGUCCUUGGCACUCAGCUCAGUGCUCAGGCACAUAGUAGGUGCUGCUCUUGAGGAGCAGGACCCAGCUUGCAAGUAGAGAGGCAGAUAUUACAGGCAGGUAGGGGGGCCCGAACCUGGGAAGGUGAGAGAGCAAAGAAAGGAGUUGGACCUGGGAGGAGGCUCAGGGAAUCCUGACUCUGAGGGGACGGGGAAGAAAGGGCAGGUCAGGAAGGAGGCUGGGAAACAAGAGUGUGGCAGGGGAAGGGAUGGGAGGCAGGAGGCAGGUGGGAGCCUAGGAGGGAAGAAGAGAGAGGUCACAUUUGGCUGAAAAAUCAGUGGAGGAUAAGGCCUGGCAAGUGGCUGAUGGAUUUGGUGUAGAGGAGGUCCCUGGGGAACUUGGCUAAAAGCAGAUUCAAAGGCCAAGAACAGGAAGAGAUGGACUUUAAGGAGAGGGACCCAGGAUACUCUGACCCUCCGGGGUACCAGAACCUUCCUCUCCAUAAGGACAUAUUUUGUUUUGACAGAGCCAUCUAAAGAUAAGCCAGGAGGUCUCUGGAGGUGGUGAACACCCGGUCCCUGGAGGGAGACAAGCAGAGCUCUGAGACCCACGCUGUCCGGGGACAUGCACAUUUAGCAUAGGGAAGGCUGUGCAAAAAAAAUAAAUAAAUAAGCCCCAUGUCCUUCUCAGCUAGGCUUGGCCGAUUCCUUGCAUCACAAAAGCCACCUAGAGGGUCACUCUUGCUAUUUCUAGUGUCCAAAGAGCCUCCCGCAGGGACGCACACACAGGGGUGGUCGUGCACAGACUCCCACAGAUCCACCCCAACACAAAAUAUAAAAUCUAUCUGUAUCUCCUGGUGUAAAGGGAUCCACGGCACGUCUCCCCAGGUUAUUCCCUUAAUUCAUUCCCUUUC